GAGGGUGUAGCUCAGGGGUAGAGCGCACGCUUAGCAUGCGUGAGGUCCUGGGUUUAAGCUCCAGUACCUCCA
rnacentral:tRNA from 1 species